UCCAGACAGAGCGCGAGCGGGUCAUCCACCGGAAGUGACUUUUCAUCAUCGUCCUUUGCUGUUUAUCCCGGAGUUACCAAGGGUUUUCCAUGAGAGGAAUAAACCUGGCUGUUUCCACCAUCUACCAGCUCCAAGAGGUUCAUUAGAGCAGAGGACAUUACCCACAGGUUUGCUGAUGAAUAAUGAUGUUCAGCUGUGGGGGAAAAGGCAUCGCCUGGAGGUGGAUGUGAGCCUUUAAAGUAAGCAGUCAUAGUUGCCUGUGCCAUUUGCCUC